AUUAAAUAUGUGUAAUGUUACUCAAAUGUUCUUAUUUUUAUACUACUUGUCUUUUUUUUUUUUUUAACAGAACAUGAGAUUUGUACUCAAGAUAUCUCAGAACUACAGUGGCAUUUUGACUGUGCAAAUUGUCAGUUACAACAGGUAAAAGCCCAAGUACUUAAGAUAGAGACAGUUAAUGGAAGGAUUCAGGAGGAUAUAGACUUCAUGAAGAAAUACAGCCCUCUGCUGGAAGAAAAGCUGAAUCUUGAGGGUGACGCUAUGAAGGAUGUAUUACUGGCACAUGGAAAGGCAUCAAAAUUAUAUUAUGAUGUUUAUCGGGAACUUCUGAGAAUCCAGGAGAUUUUAAAACAAGUCACUGAAGAAGCUGAAAAGGAGAGAAAAUCUAUGUCUGAGAAAAUUAAAUAUGCUGAGAUAGUGCUGAAGCAGUACCAGAAUGAUUUAAAACACUCAGAAUUUCUUUGGACCGAAUUGUGUAUCAAAUUAAAAGAAACAGAGGAGAAGAUUAUAAAGGAAGAAAGACACCUUGAAGAGUUAGUAAAGCAAAAAGAAGAGAUACAGGAAGAUACUAAAUCUUGGAACAACAAUGUACAGGAUUUAAACAAUAAAACAUUGGCUCAAGAAAAUGAGAACAAAAGUUUAUCGGAUGCUUGUUCUGAAGUGAUUAAAGUGAUGGAAG
rnacentral:lncRNA from 1 species